UUGGUGUUGAUGGGGUCUUUACAUGGGGGGAGUUCCAGACAUUUCUCUUCAUGGCAGCAAAUCUGGUGAAUGAACGACCCAUAGAUGCCAGAGUUCAAAGUUGUGAAGACUCUGAGGAGUAUGUCAGCCCCAACUCUCUCUUACUUGGUUGGGCCAGCCCAAAAGGAGAUCCAGGAGAUUUUCAGUUUCAAGGCUACUCAUAUAAAGGACUUCAAAGUAUCCAGCAAGAGGUCAACAGCUUCUGGAAGAAGUGGUGUGAGCUGGCUGGUCCCAACAUGUUCAUCAGGUGCAAAUGGCACACAAAGCAGCAGAAUGUCACGGUGGGACAUGUAGUGUGGCUGGAGGAUCAAAAUGCUUUAAGAGGCCGAUACAAGCUGGGCAGAGUUGUCAGUGUGAAUCCUGACCGAAUGUGAAUGUGAGGACUUUUCCAAGCACUGAAUACAAAUAAAUGCAUUUUUAAGCAAGACCAACAAUUUUAGAGUAUAAUAAGUCUCUGAAUUUAUUCUGUUUAAGCUAACCAAUAAUAAAUAAAAUGCUUCUAAACAUUAUUGUAACUUCUGAGAAUACCCAGAUGGUAGUUUGUUAUAAAAGCAGCUGUAACUCGACUGCCUGUCACCAAUGUAAGACGACAUGUCUCUGGCUGAGCGUGGGACACUAAAGGCUUUACAGUAAUUAACAUGCCAACAGAGUCAUCGCUGUCACACAACCGAGGAAUGUGACUGAACCACAUAUGUUCCACCCGUCCAUAUGAUGAUGUGAGCUUUAAAUAGUUUAAUCUCUGUUUUAUUGCUCUGGGCAUUCAUUGCAGUUCAUUUUAUAUAAAUCAAUCAUAUUGAUUAUAUAAUUAUAUAUAUUAUAUUUUGAGCUCUAGUUUGAAACUCUUGCAAACUGAGUUGAUAUAAAGUCUCUAAAGACACUUUCUGAAAGCUAACAUUGGUGUGGUUUUCCAUAUUAUCCUAAUGCAGUGCUAUGCAGCUUCAGGCUAACGUUAGCCUACUCACACAGACUACCACAUCACUGAACAAACUGAAUCACUGAAUCAACAGUCUGACAGCCACACACAGCCGACUGAAACAACUGUGUUCUUCCUUUAGCAGGAUUUUGUCAUUUCACGUCAGCUAUAAUAAAAUGAUGCCAGCUUUAUCCUUUAGGGGGCGUUUGUCAGGGGUUCAAGUGUUAUCACAGCACGAGUACAGAACACAUCAUGGUAACUGUCUUUCCUUCCAAACAUUCAGAUACAACAUUUUCACUGCAGCCUGUUUAUCAAUCUUUCCUGGAUAAAUCAGUGAGAUGUGUGAGGCUGUGAGCUCGCUGCAUGACUGUCAAUUAAAGCAGGUGAUCGUCUCAGCAGGGACAAAAAGGACGACACACCCAGUCCCAGGUGAGCGUGGGUUGCAAUGUUGCAAUGUUUCCCCUCGAGCAUCUUCAGACAGCUUCAGUAUGUGGAGAACGUUGUUUUUCUGUCAAAGUCAAAGACCGAGUUCAACUGGUACAUCGGCUGCUCUUCUUCUAUGUCGGCCUACAUUAGCCCCGGAGUAAACAAAGGCAGCGUGUGCAGGUGGGAGCGGCAUUUAAAAAACAACACCAAGAAAAAACAGAACAAAAAGCCCAAAAACUG